GUCCAAGAAUAAAUUGACCAAGACGUUCCUGGUGCUUGGGCUAAUAGGAGCUUAAGUUUUUGGUGUCCAAAAGGCAGGUGUGUCCAGUUCUCCCGUGGAACGUUAUUGUACUCUCCGCAAUUUUUCCUGCAUCCGGCGAAAUUUUGCAAAUUCUACAUUUCAGCAGCCGCCAGCCAACGCAGCCCUAGAAAAAGAGGGUCAGACUGACGUCCGUGGGAUUGCACUCGUUUAUGUCAGGUCUGAGUUUGGUCCCAGGGUUCUCGCUGCCAUUCUGGGGUGAAUAUGUGGUGACCCAUGACCCUGACAGCAUUGCUGACUUUUAUAAACCACUUAAGAUCCGAGUUACAAGAAGAUAAACAACGUGGGAGCAAAUGGCGGGUGUGAUGCAGAUCAGGACUGCAGUAUUUG